UAUUGUUUGACAUGUAUUGGAUGGUUUUAGAUGGAUUUUGUGAAUAAACAUAAUACUUGAAAUUAUGUACGUGAUGAUGUUAAUUGGUGAAUUUGAUGAAUAAUAUGAAUUGGCUUGUUUGCUUUAUGUUAUUAUGUUAUGAUGAGAUGAUGAAUGUUAUUUGAUGUAUUGUUUGGGAUUGAAGUCAUGUUAGGUGUAUAUUGUGAAAAUGUUGGAUGUGGUACGCUUAUGUAUGAUUAAGGGGUUGUGAC
rnacentral:lncRNA from 1 species